CCCCAAACUUAUGGGGCGUCGCCGGUGCCACGGAAUUAAGCCGUGGGUGCGAGAUAGUGAAAAUCCCCGGAG
rnacentral:ncRNA from 1 species